GACGAACGCUGGCGGCGUGCCUAAUACAUGCAAGUAGGACGCAGUUGCGAACGGGUGAGUAACGCGUCGGUAACUGCCUAUUAGAGGGGGAUAACUAUUGGAAACGAUAGCUAAUACCGCAUACUCGUAGAUGGACAUGCGUUGUAUUCGGUAGGAGGUAGGGGAAUGGCCUACCUAGGCAAAGAUACAUAGCCGACCUUAGAGGGUGAUCGGCCACACUGGGACUGAGAAACGGCCCAGACUCCUACGGGAGGCAGCAGUAGGGAAUCUUCGGAAAUGGGGGGAACCCUGACCGAGCAACGCCGCGGGAGUGAAGAAGGUUUUCGGAUCGUAAAGCUCUGGUGUUAAGGAAGCGGUACUUAACCAGAAAGGGACGGCUAACUACGUGCCAGCAGCCGCGGUAAUUC
rnacentral:rRNA from 1 species